rnacentral:rRNA from 1 species
UAACACGUAGGGGGCGAGCGUUGUCCGGAUUUAUUGGGCGUAAAGAGCUCGUAGGCGGCUUUGUCAGUCGGGUGUGAAACCUCCAGGCUCAACCUGGAGCCGCCACCCGAUACUGCAAUAGCUAGAGUCCGGUAGGGGAGCAUGGAACUCCUGGUGUAGCGGUGAAAUGCGCAGAUAUCAGGAAGAACACCAGUGGCGAAGGCGGUGCUCUGGGCCGGAACUGACGCUGAGGAGCGAAAGCGUGGGGAGCAAACAGGAUUAGAUACCCUGGUAGUCCACGCCGUAAACGUUGGGCACUAGGUGUGGGUCUCAACCAACGAGAUCCGUGCCGAAGCUAACGCAUUAAGUGCCCCGCCUGGGGAGUACGGCCGCAAGGCUA